rnacentral:lncRNA from 1 species
AUAGUUCAAAUUGGAGGGAGCUUGGGCAGAUACCACCUUUUCUUUUAAGGAAUGAAUUUGACUUUUGCUGAUGGAGCCUCUCUGAAGGGCAAAUUCAAAGUACAGCUGGGUGCUGCAGCACUGGAGUGCGAACUUGUGGCUGUGGUUAUGAAGGAGCCUCGUCAGCUAUGCCUUUAGCCCCUGGUGAAGCAGUGCCAGUCACACUUUGCCAGUCAAACGGAGAGGCAGCAGUAGUAAGACCAGACCAAAUCAAACCAAACCAAGCAAACCACGGGGAAUGGAGACACAGAGUUUCAUUCUGUCACCCAGGCUGGAGUGCAGAUGCAGUGGCAUGAUGAUAGUGCACUACAACUUGGAACUCCUGGGCUCAAGCCAUCUUCCCUCCACUGCCUCCAAGUAGCUGGGGACUACAGGUCAUGUGAGCACACAGCAUAAAGGCAGCUGCCCACAAGCCAGGAAGAGAAGCAUCAUCAGAAACCGACCAUACUGGCUUCCUGAUCUCAGACUUUCAGCCUCCAGAAUGAGAUGGGGGUGUGAAAGGAAAUGAAAUCUUGGGACCCUAAACUCAUUAAGCCAAAGGGAAAAGCUGGGCCGAGAACUGGAUGAUGCAACCUGCUUCCACCUUUUUGCUUCCUAAAUAAGAUGGCUACAAGAUGAAAAGCUAUACAUCUCUGCCAUAUUUUGCCCACAAGGAAAUUCCUAGUGAGCUUCAAGAUCUUUUAAGGUGUUUCUGUUAAAAUUUCACAAUUUCGCCAUUGCAAUGUAAAUUUAUAGCUUAUCCUUACAGGUGCAGUCAUCUCCCUGCCCACCAGACACAAAGGCAUAUCUGAUUGUUCUCCUGCCCCAUUUUGUCUAUGUUAUCUUAUGUAAAAUACAG